UACGGGGGGGGGCAAGCGUUUGUUCGGAAUUACUGGGCGUAAAGGGCUCGUAGGUGGCCAACUAAGUCGGACGUGAAAUCCCUCAGCUUAACUGGGGAACUGCGUCCGAUACUGGAUGGCUCGAGUUUGGGAGAGGGAUGCGGAAUUCCAGGUGUAGCGGUGAAAUGCGUAGAUAUCUGGAGGAACACCGGUGGCGAAGGCGGCAUCCUGGACCAACACUGACACUGAGGAGCGAAAGCCAGGGGAGCAAACGGG
rnacentral:rRNA from 1 species